UUUCCAUCUUCUUAAUGAGUGCAAGAGAAAAAAAUUGCAAUUAAUCGUGUUUGCAUUUGAUGACGGUGUGGGUUUUUGUUAACAUUUCUAGUAUAGGGAAGUGAAAGACUAGUAUUUGAGACUUGUACUGUUGUUCACAAUCUAUAAUUUAUGGGGUGUAAUAAA